rnacentral:lncRNA from 1 species
CUGUGAUGCUCGGACUCUCCGGAAAACCCAGCCGUACCCGUGUCCACAGGACACGACACUGACACUGACACUGGGAUCCGGAUCCGAACAUCAUCCAGAAACCAGACUCUCCAUCUUAGACAACCUAUCUUUAAUUUCAGUGACCUAUCUCUAAGAGGAAGAUAGGAAUAAGAAAAUAUAUGAAGAAACAGAGGUGAAAUGGAUGUAAAAGGAGAAAAGAAGCAACUCUUGCCUUAAUUUGUGCAAUUGUUUGUUAUGCAGUAUAAUAGAAUGAUAGGUAUUUAUUUAUAAGAACAAUCAUAUUAAUUAAAAAUAAUAAUUGCAGUGUCCAAAUCCAAGUGUCGGAUCCUUAUAAAACGUGUCCCCGAGUCUUUAAUUUUGUAGUUUGAAAGGUCUGACACCCUGAUAUGUGUCUGUGUCGGAUCCUUCUAAAAGAGUCUGAGCAUCAUAG